AGUUUCCGGUCGGUGGGUACCGCCGCGCACGGAACCUGAGUCUCCGCGUGGGCGUCUGGCGCGGGGCGCUGAGCACACCUUCCUUCAAAUUAGGUGUUGACGGUGCUUUAAGGAUCUUCUGCAUUAACAUCCACCUGGCUUUCCCAGCUUGUGUAAGCUCCACUUCUCUUCACACGGAUUUGCUAAUAGUUGUGCUUUGUUGUCUCAGCCGGUCCUACUUCCUGAGAUUCUCAUUACUGAAUCAGGGAAGAAUCAACAUUUUCAGCCAUGGAAUCAGGAAUCAUAGGGCUUCCCUGGUGGCGCAGUGGUUAAGAAUCCACAUGCCAAUGCAGGGGACACAGGUUCGAGCCCUAGUCCGGGAAGAUCCCACAUGCCACGGAGCAACUAAGCCCGUGUGCCACAACUACUGAGCCUGCGCUCUAGAGCGUGCGACCUACAACUACUGAGCCCACAUGCCACAACUACUGAAGCCCGCGUGCCUAGAGCCUGUGCUUCGCAACACGGGAAGCCACUGCAGUGAGAAGCCUGUGCACCACACAGAGUAUCCCCCGCUCACUGCAGCUAGAGAAAGCCCUCGCGCAGCAACGAAGACCCAAUGCAGCCAAAAAAAUAAAUAAAUAAAUAAAUUAAAAAAAACAUAAAAACAAAUAAAAGGAAUCAUAGUUUGCUCAUAGAAAAUGCUACUGCAGGUUCAAGAAUUCUCGUGAGACGUGCAGAGGGGAGCUGACCGUUCCUCUCGUUUUAGGGUGGUACGCAGAAGAAUCAUCAAGCUUUAUGAUCUGCACCGUCACAACCCCAUCUACUCUAUUUACCUGAUGGAAAUUGAGCCAAAAUGAAGAAAAAGGCAAAGACAAAAUAAAACAUCUUCCUGUUUGGCGCCAUCUCUGAGGGAAGACUCUUCAAACAGAGGUUCGGGAUUCCUUUGAGAGGAUGAGAGGCUCCCUUAUAUUUGAAAGUAAUAGGAUAUGCUCUUGGUCAGUGAAGUGGAUCCAUAAAGAAAGCACAUUUAUAUGCUCCAUUUCCCAGGAUCAAGGACUGAUGUGAUGCAUCAUAACCCUUGGCCUCCAUAGAGCCUUGAACUGUGGGGGGGGAUUCUGACCGGGGUGGUGGGAAGGACACCAGGCCAACUCUGCCCUAGUCCAGGGAGAAAGCAAACUACGCCUCACCGCUCCCAGCUCAGCUUGCGUAUCUAUCAAACAAGGACCAACUCAGAGUUACUGAGAGAGAGCACAGUCAGUCCGCCAGCCUCUCAGGGUUGCUCUGAGGAGCUGGUGUCAGGAUGACACAAAAGAGUUUUGAACACAUGGAAUGCUUUGAAGGAGGCCUGGUGCCCUGUGAGAGCUCAAUAAAUAUAGUGUCACUU